rnacentral:rRNA from 1 species
CAGGGGGAUAAGCGGAAGAAAUUCCGUCUAAUACCGCAUAAUACAAUUUGGAGACAUCUCCGGGUUGUCAAAGGAGUGAUCCGGCAGAGGAUGGACAUGCGGCGCAUUAGCUAGUCGGCGGGGUAACGGCCCACCGAGGCUACGAUGCGUAGGGGUUCUGAGAGGAAGGUCCCCCACACUGGUACUGAGACACGGACCAGACUCCUACGGGAGGCAGCAGUGAGGAAUAUUGGUCAAUGGGCGGAAGCCUGAACCAGCCAAGUCGCGUGAGGGAAGACGGUCCUAUGGAUUGUAAACCUCUUUUGCAGGGGAGCAAGGCGCGGUACGUGUACCGCGAAGGAGAGUACCCUGAGAAAAAGCAUCGGCUAACUCCGUGCCAGCAGCCGCGGUAAUACGGAGGAUGCGAGCGUUAUCCGGAUUUAUUGGGUUUAAAGGGUGCGCAGGCGGACUGUUAAGUCAGCGGUAAAAUGUCGGUGCUCAACACCGGCCGGCCGUUGAAACUGGCAGCCUUGAGUGAGCGAGAAGUAUGCGGAAUGCGUGGUGUAGCGGUGAAAUGCAUAGAUAUCACGCAGAACUCCGAUUGCGAAGGCAGCAUACCGGCGCUCAACUGACGCUCAGGCACGAAAGCGUGGGUAUCGAACAGGCUUAGAUACCCUGGUAGUCCACGCAGUAAACGAU